GACGAACGCUGGCGGCGUGCUUAACACAUGCAAGUCGAGCGGUAAGGCCCCUUCGGGGGUACACGAGCGGCGAACGGGUGAGUAACACGUGAGCAAUCUGCCCAUCACAUCGGGAUAACUCCGGGAAACCGAAGCUAAUACCGAAUACGACCACCUCCGGCAUCGGAGGUGGUGGAAAGCUCCGGCGGUGAUGGAUGAGCUCGCGGCCUAUCAGCUUGUUGGUGGGGUAAUGGCCUACCAAGGCUUCGACGGGUAGCCGGCCGGAGAGGGUGACCGGCCACCCUGGGACUGGGACACGGCCCAGACGCCUACGGGAGGCAGCAGUGGGGAAUAUUGGACAAUGGGCGAAAGCCUGAUCCAGCAACGCCGCGUGAGGGAUGACGGCCUUCGGGUUGUAGACCUCUUUCAGCAGGGACGAAGCGCAAGUGACGGUACCUGCAGAAGAAGCACCGGCCAACUACGUGCCAGCAGCCGCCGUAA
rnacentral:rRNA from 1 species